UGGGGAAUUUUGGACAAUGGACGCAAGUCUGAUCCAGCCAUGCCGCGUGAGUGAAGAAGGCCUUCGGGUUGUAAAGCUCUUUUGUCCGGGAGCAAACCUUCAUGGCUAAUAUCCAUGGAGCUGAGAGUACCGGAAGAAUAAGCACCGGCUAACUACGUGCCAGCAGCCGCGGUAAUACGUAGGGUGCAAGCGUUAAUCGGAAUUACUGGGCGUAAAGCGUGCGCAGGUGGUUGUGUAAGCUUGAUGUGAAAUCCCCGGGCUUAACCUGGGAAUGGCAUUGAGGACUGCACGGCUAGAGUGUGGCAGAGGGGGGUGGAAUUCCGCGUGUAGCAGUGAAAUGCGUAGAGAUGCGGAGGAACACCGAUGGCGAAGGCAGCCCCCUGGGCUAACACUGACACUCAUGCACGAAAGCGUGGGGAGCAAACAGG
rnacentral:rRNA from 1 species